CCUUUGAAUGGUCACUCAACAUACUCUUCUAAGUUAGUUUAGAUUAUGAUAAUAGCCAGGAAGGUAGUGGUAGGGGAAUGUCUUUAAAAGCUGGAGAAAUGAGACUUGGGGAAUGCAAAGGAAUGACUGUUAGGCAUUGGGAAGUUGAGAUUGCCUCAGAGAAGCCAUCAGACCCAGGAUUCUGGGAGAGAUAGAGAGAGACAGUUAGCAGCUUCCUAGAACCACCACCAUAUCCCCACUCAAACAGCUCAAGGAAGAAAGGCAUUCUGGUCUUUAAUCUGAACCCACCUCUUAUAGAUGCCAAUGGGAAGAGACACUACCAGUUAAAACUAUGCCUUGUUUACUAUACUGACCAUACUUGUAGUACCUUAUAUUCACAACAAAAUACUUAUUGAGUAUAUAGUAUGUACCAGGCACUAUAUUAGGCUCUGGUAUGUGGUAGUGAAUAGCCUCUGCUCUCCUGGUGUUCCUAAAUAUUCCCUGCCAACUUUCUGUAUUUCUUACUAGACUGCUGGCUCCAUGAGGACAAGAACUUUGUAUGACUUUUUCAUGAUGGAUGUUCACCUGUGCCAGCUGUAAAUAUUUAACAAAUACUUGUGGAAUACACGAAUCCAAAAGUGAGUGGAAUGAUAAAGAGGGAAAGGAUCAUGACAUCUACUACAGCAUUUGGCACAGACCCAGUUGUCUGCAGUACUAUCAAGAGACAACAUGGACUUCAACGAUCAAAAAGGGGAGAAAAAGGCUUAAAAGAAAAACAAGUCUCCAUCAAAGGUAAUAACCACAAUGAGAAAUAUACAUAGCUAUGUGCUUAUAGGUCUUAGUUCACAUUCCCCCUUAUUAAAAUUAUAGCUCAAGAAAUAAAGGGCUAUGUUUAAUGACUUAGGUAUAUAAAUAUACUUCAUUUGUAUAUUUUUUACUUACUAAAAUCAAACAAGUAUUACCUCAAACCAUUAUAUUUUAUAAUUUUACUUUCAAUUGCCAUGUAUUUUUCCUACUGAUGUUCACAAAUUCACAGGAAACAUCAGCAAUGUACUAAAUAAAAUAUGAAUUGAAUCAACAAAUAGAACUAUAAAUUUAAUUCAUGCACUUGUAAAAUUUACACCAAAGAAUACAAAUGUCUA